rnacentral:rRNA from 1 species
AUUGAACGCUGGCGGCAGGCCUAACACAUGCAAGUCGAACGGUAACAGGAAACAGCUUGCUGUUUCGCUGACGAGUGGCGGACGGGUGAGUAAUGUCUGGGAAACUGCCUGAUGGAGGGGGAUAACUACUGGAAACGGUAGCUAAUACCGCAUAACGUCGCAAGACCAAAGAGGGGGACCUUCGGGCCUCUUGCCAUCGGAUGUGCCCAGAUGGGAUUAGCUAGUAGGUGGGGUAACGGCUCACCUAGGCGACGAUCCCUAGCUGGUCUGAGAGGGUGACCAGCCACACUGGAACUGAGACACGGUCCAGACUCCUACGGGAGGAAGCAGUGGGGAAUAUUGCACAAUGGGCGCAAGCCGGAUGCAGCCAUGCCGCGUGUAUGAAGAAGGCCUUCGGGUUGUAAAGUACUUUCAGCGGGGAGGAAGGGAGUAAAGUUAAUACCUUUACUCAUUGACGUUACCCGCAGAAGAAGCACCGGCUAACUCCGUG